ACACACACACACAGAGAGGUCUGGUGAGUAUAGUUAAUCUUCUUAGUAAUCACAAGGUUCAACUGUUGGACCAGAACAAAGUUCACAUCGUCAACAACAACAGAGGUGAAAUUUCUACCGAUCAGAGAGAGACGGGGAGAGGAGAAGCCUAAAGGGACAGAUAAAAGAGAAAGACAGACAUAAAAAAAAGCAGACAAAGAGGACAUUAAGAAAGGUGAGAACUUCUACAUCUGGACCAUCCUGUGGAUCUAUUCUGUGGAUUAUCUCACUAAGCUCUGCAGUGAAACCUGAUGUGACACAGUGAAGUCUCCAUAUGUGAUGUGACUGCCGUCGCUCAAAACUUCAUCUUUGACCUCCACUCAGAUCUCGGCGUCUGCAGACACAUCAUUAAGGAGAACUGUCAGGAUGAGUGUGUAUUAACUUACUCAUAAUAUUUGGGAGCCACCUGCAAGUCAUUUCCACCUACAACUAUUCGAGGCAUCUUUUGUGGGGAACCUGAAAACUAAUGGAGGUGCUGAGUGGCCCCUGGGCCGAUGUAGUCCUGCUGCUUCGACAGACAAUCGCCCAGAUGGACAGAGAGACAGGCAGCUCUCUUACUCUCUGGCUGUUCGGCCUGCUGCUGUUCCUGUCUGUCUGUCUGCUGCUGCUGCAGCUGAUCAUCUACCUCAGCUGGAAACUCAGAGAGGCUGAAGCUGAUCUCUCAGGGUUUCCACAAGACAGAAGCGCCAUCUACAGGCACAUACGCAGAAAUACACAGCUGAGGAGAAGGAGCGUUGGGUAGCACUCACACACCUGAUCAGAUGAGCAGACAGGAAAGUCACUUG